UAUAUUAUAUUGUUUAUCCGGGCACCUUGCACAGCCAAUGACACGGUAUUGGAAGGAAGACCCUGCUAUGUCGGAUCAGACGGCCUGCAGGGGAAUACGCACGACAACAGGAUGUGGAGAAAAAAUUGCGGUAAUCAGGGGUCGUAAAUGCACUGUACUUGCAAUAUUACGAUAUAUCCAAAACUAUAAAUGACACAGGUUGUAGAUUCACCUCUGGAGUCUGGAGCUAUUAAAAUAUUCUAAAAACUCUCUACUGAAGCCAGUAUCCUUACAGCAAAAAUUGAAGCCAUCAAAAAGGAAAAUGUCUGGGGAUACCCAAGCAAAUCUAUCUCCAUUAAAAGUACUUGUUAUAAGUGACUAUCUCGGCACUGAAGAAAACCUAUUUAGAUGUUAUUUAUAAUUUUUACAAUUCUA